UUAAUGUCGUUGUUCUUCGAAAGAGAUUCGUAAUUCAUAUCAAAUAUUAAUCUCAUUUGAUGUUGAUUUCUUCAUUUCUUCUUCUUUUUCUAUUCUCUAGGUUUCAUAUGUCUAUGGAAAUCUCAGAUUUAGUUCAUUCAACUCCAUUUAGCCCUCAAUCUUUCCUUACAUCAAGUAUUCUUCAUCUCAUUUACGUAAAUCUAUGAUUGUCCGUGUUGUUUAAUUUCGCCGAAUAUGUAAAUCUCAAAAGUGAGUUUAAUUACAAAGAAAAUCUGAUUGCAUCUGUUAAGAAAAAAAUCUGAAGUGAUUAUUAUCAAUGGAGAAGAAGUGAUUGUUAUCAAUGGAGAAGAACUUGAUUGCUUUUCCUGAAGAAGCUGAAAUUUGAGUGUGCGAUAAAUAUCCUUCACAUUUGUGGGAACCUAUCAUUGCUUCUGAAGAUCGCGAUUUCGACGUUACGGUGUUGAUUUUAUUGGUAUUAUUUGUGCGGUUUUAUUUUGAUUUAGUAAGGGAGGUGGGAGUACUGGCACUCAAUAGUUUUGCAGUUUGUGAAAAACACCCUAUUACUGAAGGCUGUUGAGAUAGUAUUGGCGAUCUUAUUGGAGACAAGGAUUUCUAGAUGGAAAGUUCUUGGAUCACAUAUGAGUAAGGUUAUCUGCUAAACUUACCUCUGCAAAUCUGGAUGUUAUCCAACUGGAGCUUGGCGUGGUUAGUAUUUUUCUCAGUCUGUGCGGAUUAGGGUGGCAGUUUGGCUAUCAUGGAUUCUGGAUUUUUUGGAUCUUUG